CCCUUAGAUGUUCUGGGCUGCACGCGCGCUACACUGAUGCACUCAACGAGUUUACGACCUUGCCCGAUAGGGUUGGGUAAUCUUUUUAAAAUGCAUCGUGAUGGGGAUAGAUUAUUGCAAUUAUUAAUCUUCAACGAGGAAUUCCUAGUAAGCGCGAGUCAUCAGCUCGUGCUGAUUACGUCCCUGCCCUUUGUACACACCGCCCGUCGCACCUACCGAUUGAAUGGUCCGGUGAAAUCUUCGGAUUGAGACUUUGUUUUCUUCACGGAAAACGCUGUUUUAAAAAGUUGAUUAAACCUUACCAUUUAGAGGAAGGUGAAGUCGUAACA
rnacentral:rRNA from 1 species